rnacentral:rRNA from 1 species
UACGGAGGGUGCAAGCGUUAUCCGGAUUCACUGGGUUUAAAGGGUGCGUAGGCGGCUUAGUAAGUCCGUUGUGAAAUCUCUGAGCUUAACUCGGAAAUUGCGGUGGAUACUAUUAGUCUUGAAUACUGUGGAGGUUAGCGGAAUAUGUCAUGUAGCGGUGAAAUGCAUAGAUAUGACAUAGAACACCAAUUGCGAAGGCAGCUGGCUACACAGAUAUUGACGCUGAGGCACGAAAGCGUGGGGAUCAAACAGG